GUCCAUCAUUCUAUUUAUUCACAAAAUACAACAGCCCCUUGCCUAAUGCCCUAGUUUGAGCUCUAAUAUCGCCAUUGCAACUUAUCAAGGAGUCCACCCUAUUUUGCUCGACGCUGAAUUCUAGCUGCUCUUUUUGUUCUUCUUGGUUAAUCUUCACGUUCCUCUCCUACUCGUGUCUUCGUGCUUGUGUCGUUGCUGCUCUACUCAAAACAAAAUUCCACCGCGGUUUCGCUUGAAAUAGAAUUCCAGAGAGUUUGCAAAAACUCAUAAGAACGCUCGACACUUGACUGAUGCAGAAUGGAACCGACAACUUAUUGAAUGAUUUAACAAUAGGGUCGCAGAAUUGCACAAAGGAGAUAAUACUUGUAUGAUGGAAGAUCUCCUUACACUUUCACGCGGUCCUACACAAUAUUUGAGGCAUUCUAAUGGUUAUGUUGUCAAUGGAUAUAGAUUUCAUGUAUAAGAUUAUGAUAAGAAGUUGAGGACUCAAAAUUGUGGCGUUUUUGUAUUGGGUGAGAAUGAUAAAGAUAGUGACAACCUUGAUUAUGACGGUGUAUAAACAUAUGUGAUUGAGUUGCAACUUGUCAUGGAUAAAAGAGUGCUUUUAUUUUGAUGUAAUUGGUUUUAUGCGUAUGAUGAAAUAAAAGGAGUUAAAAAGUAUUAGUAUGAUUCUGUGAGUGUUAAUCCGGACAGAUUUUUUAAAAUUAAUUAGCCCUUUAUUUUAGCAAACCAAGCAUCCCAAGUGUUCUCUGCUAAUGAUAAUGCCAACAAAGGUUGGCAAGUCGUUAUGAAUACUCAACCUCAUGAUUCGUUUGAGAUUAUCAAACAGAUGAAUGAUGAUAUUGUAGAAUUAUGAAGUCCUUUCACAAAACAAACGAAAAAGAACUAAUGAGGUAAAGUAUCUUUUUUUAUGAAUUGAUAUAUAUAUUGUUACACUUUAUAAAUGAUUUAUUUUGUCACUAAGUGUUAGACAUUUUUCCUUGUUAUUUAUUACUUUU